rnacentral:rRNA from 1 species
AACGAACGCUGGCGGCAGGCUUAACACAUGCAAGUCGAGCGCCCCGCAAGGGGAGCGGCAGACGGGUGAGUAACACGUGGGGAUCUGCCCGAUGGUACGGAAUAGCUCCGGGAAACUGGAAUUAAUACCGUAUGUGCCCGCAAGGGGAAAGAUUUAUCGCCAUCGGAUGAACCCGCGUCGGAUUAGCUAGUUGGUGUGGUAAAGGCGCACCAAGGCGACGAUCCGUAGCUGGUCUGAGAGGAUGAUCAGCCACACUGGGGCUGAGACACGGCCCAGACUCCUACGGGAGGCAGCAGUGGGGAAUAUUGGACAAUGGGCGCAAGCCUGAUCCUGCCAUGCCGCGUGAGUGAUGAAGGCCUUAGGGUUGUAAAGCUCUUUCGCCAACGAAGAUAAUGACGGUAGUCGGAGAAGAAGCCCCGGCUAACUUCGUGCCAGCAGCCGCGGUAACAC